UGGAACCUCUCCCAAGAUGUGCCCUAGAGUC
rnacentral:piRNA from 1 species